rnacentral:rRNA from 1 species
AUGAACGCUAGCUACAGGCUUAACACAUGCAAGUCGAGGGGCAGCAUUUUAGUUUGCUUGCAAACUAAAGAUGGCGACCGGCGCACGGGUGAGUAACACGUAUCCAACCUGCCGAUAACUCGGGGAUAGCCUUUCGAAAGAAAGAUUAAUAUCCGAUAGUAUAUUAAAACCGCAUGGUUUUACUAUUAAAGAAUUUCGGUUAUCGAUGGGGAUGCGUUCCAUUAGUUUGUUGGCGGGGUAACGGCCCACCAAGACUACGAUGGAUAGGGGUUCUGAGAGGAAGGUCCCCCACAUUGGAACUGAGACACGGUCCAAACUCCUACGGGAGGCAGCAGUGAGGAAUAUUGGUCAAUGGACGAGAGUCUGAACCAGCCAAGUAGCGUGAAGGAUGACUGCCCUAUGGGUUGUAAACUUCUUUUAUAUGGGAAUAAAGUAUUCCACGUGUGGGAUUUUGUAUGUACCAUAUGAAUAAGGAUCGGCUAACUCCGUGCCAGCAGCCGCGGUAAUACGGAGGAUCCGAGCGUUAUCCGGAUUUAUUGGGUUUAAAGGGAGCGUAGGUGGAUUGUUAAGUCAGUUGUGAAAGUUUGCGGCUCAACCGUAAAAUUGCAGUUGAAGCUGGCAGUCUUGAGUACAGUAGAGGUGGGCGGAAUUCGUGGUGUAGCGGUGAAAUGCUUAGAUAUCACGAAGAACUCCGAUUGCGAAGGCAGCUCACUAGACUGCAACUGACACUGAUGCUCGAAAGUGUGGGUAUCAAACAGGAUUAGAUACCCUGGUAGUCCACACAGUAAACGAUGAAUACUCGCUGUUUGCGAUAUACAGUAAGCGGCCAAGCGAAAGCAUUAAGUAUUCCACCUGGGGAGUACGCCGGCAACGGUGAAACUCAAAGGAAUUGACGGGGGCCCGCACAAGCGGAGGAACAUGUGGUUUAAUUCGAUGAUACGCGAGGAACCUUACCCGGGCUUAAAUUGCAUUUGAAUAAUCUGGAAACAGGUUAGCCGCAAGGCAAAUGUGAAGGUGCUGCAUGGUUGUCGUCAGCUCGUGCCGUGAGGUGUCGGCUUAAGUGCCAUAACGAGCGCAACCCUUAUCUUUAGUUACUAACAGGUCAUGCUGAGGACUCUAGAGAGACUGCCGUCGUAAGAUGUGAGGAAGGUGGGGAUGACGUCAAAUCAGCACGGCCCUUACGUCCGGGGCUACACACGUGUUACAAUGGGGGGUACAGAAGGCAGCUACCUGGCGACAGGAUGCUAAUCCCAAAAACCUCUCUCAGUUCGGAUCGAAGUCUGCAACCCGACUUCGUGAAGCUGGAUUCGCUAGUAAUCGCGCAUCAGCCAUGGCGCGGUGAAUACGUUCCCGGGCCUUGUACACACCGCCCGUCAAGCCAUGAAAGCCGGGGGUACCUGAAGUACGUAACCGCAAGGAGCGUCCUAGGGUAAAACUGGUAAUUGGGGCU